rnacentral:rRNA from 1 species
GNGAGGAUAUUGGUCAAUGGGCGCUAGCCUGACCAGCCAUGCCGCGUGCAGGAAGACGGCCCUAUGGGUUGUAAACUGCUUUUCUGCGGGAAGAAUUCCGUGUAUUCGUUACAGGGUUGACGGUACCGCAGGAAUAAGCAUCGGCUAACUCCGUGCCAGCAGCCGCGGUAAUACGGAGGAUGCAAGCGUUAUCCGGAUUCAUUGGGUUUAAAGGGUGCGCAGGCGGUGGAGCAAGUCAGUGGUGAAAGCCCGAAGCUCAACUUCGGGAUUGCCAUUGAAACUGUUUCACUUGAGUGUAGUCGAGGACGGCGGAAUGAGUUGUGUAGCGGUGAAAUGCAUAGAUAUAACUCAGAACACCGAUUGCGAAGGCAGCUGUCUAGACUAUAACUGACGCUGAGGCACGAAAGCGUGGGGAGCGAACAGGAUUAGAUACCCUGGNAGNCCACGCANNAAACGAUGAUCACUCGNUGNNNGNCUACU